GUGUUCGCGGGAAUGGGGGGUCAGAUGUCUGAUUAGACCAUGAAAAUACAAGAUUUUCUUGCUACGCGUGGGGCCCACCAUGCAAUUUUUGAUGAAAUCAAGAAGAGGUGUUGCUUCAAAUCUUGGAUUAAAUUGUUUGUUUGUGUUUUAAGGUUAGAGCCCACUUCUUUAUGCAAUCAGACAAUCUGAUUUUGUGGAUUUUGCAAUUGAAUUUUAAUCUGAUUUCUUGUGUCUAAUUAAUCUCGGAGGCUAUUCUAGUUCGUCGGAAAAAAACAAGGUUAAUGGCUUUCCGCUUUUGUGAUUCCGAAUGUUGCGAAAAUAUUGUUAAUUUUGUUGUCGACUAUGUUUCAUCUUUUAUGCUGUAAUAAUCUAACUGACAAUUUUUUUUUUUCGUUUUU